CUGCUCUGUCACCGCCAUCGAAAAUGUUUUAACCUGAGAUUUUACAAAAUGCAAAUAUCGUGGGUUUGAUAACAUUUGUCCGGAAUCAUUUAGGCACAUCUCUUUAUUGUUUUAUCAGUGGACAUGCGGCUCACAAAAAAAUGCGCUCGAGCGCUCCUGGGAAUUGUGACUUUGCUCCUCAACCUGUCAGAAUGUCUGCGCAUGACCGUCCGCCCUGACAAAGAUGCUACUGUGACUGUGUCGUCCUCACUGCUCCUUCCAUUGGAACAGUGUUCCGUAUGCAAGGUCAAUGGCACUGAGAAUGACACCCAGACGACCUGUCACUCAUCGCUGGCCCUGGUCCCCGAUGAGGAUGUCACCUUGCUCUUCAACUGCACUGAACCACCACAAAGUGCUUUCGUCAUCCAGAUCCACAGGAAAAUCGAAUGCACCAAUGACACCUGCAGCCCUGCCACAGGUGUGGCUCAGCCUUCCC
ensembl:lncRNA